rnacentral:ncRNA from 20 species
UUGCUGAAUCUUGAUGGGGAAUAGUGUGCAAAUCACUAGCUGUUCCUGCAACGGUAAUAUCUAAUUGAUAAAGUCCGAGUACCAUCCAGCAAAGUCCUUUGUUGAAUGAAGGCCAGGAAAAGUCUAGUUCUACAAUUUUAAA